rnacentral:rRNA from 1 species
GAUGAACGCUAGCGGCAGGCUUAAUACAUGCAAGUCGUGGGGCAGCAUGAGUGUAGCAAUACAUUUGAUGGCGACCGGCAAACGGGUGCGGAACACGUACACAACCUUCCUAUAAGUGGGGAAUAGCCCAGAGAAAUUUGGAUUAAUACCCCGUAACAUAAUGAUGUGGCAUCACAUUAUUAUUAUAGCUUCGGCGCUUAUUGAUGGGUGUGCGGCUGAUUAGAUAGUUGGCGGGGUAACGGCCCACCAAGUCGACGAUCAGUAGCUGAUGUGAGAGCACGAUCAGCCACACGGGCACUGAGACACGGGCCCGACUCCUACGGGAGGCAGCAGUAAGGAAUAUUGGUCAAUGGACGCAAGUCUGAACCAGCUAUGCCGCGUGAAGGAUUAAGGUCCUCUGGAUUGUAAACUUCUUUUAUCUGGGACGAAAAAAGGCGAUUCUUCGUCACUUGACGGUACCAGAUGAAUAAGCACCGGCUAACUCCGUGCCAGCCGCCGCAGUAACAC